ACGAGAUCAGGGCCUCCGUGCCCGACCUCCAACCCUCUUGUAUCGAAAACCUCGUUGCCUCGGGGGCGGCCCUGCCUCACGGCGGGCACCCCGGAGGACCACUCAAAACCCUGCAUUUACAGUGUCGUCUGAGUAAACAUUUGAAUUAAAUCA
rnacentral:misc_RNA from 1 species